AUGGCUCCUACCGAGGCUGAGGCGGAUGUAGAGGAGGGAGAAGAGAAGAAGAAGAGGGAAAGGAAAGCAGCCGGAGCUGCUUUCACGUGGAUUCAAAAUAACUUUGCAACGUGCCCUCCGGAUGCCAUUGAUGAUGUGAUCCAGACACAUGCUCGUGUGUAUAUGUGGUACGUUGUGUCGAGGACUUUGUUUCCUGACUCCACUGGCAAGAACGCUCCAUGGAUGUGGCUGAAGGUGUUGACCGUCUUCGAUAGCAAAUGGAGCUGGGGUUCAGCAACUCUUGCCUACUUGUACCGAUAG
rnacentral:rRNA from 1 species